ensembl:snoRNA
GCACCUCACAGCAACCCUGUCGAUUCUGUCUGUUUGAUACGGGUCAAAUUGGUGCCAUAGAGAUUCAAUGUAAAUCCAGAUGGACCUCCUCUCGUGGAGCCUGUCUCUACAACUUUGAUACACAA